rnacentral:rRNA from 1 species
GAGGAAUAUUGGUCAAUGGACGAGAGUCUGAACCAGCCAAGUAGCGUGAAGGAUGACUGCCCUAUGGGUUGUAAACUUCUUUUAUACGGGAAUAAAGUGAGGCACGUGUGCCUUUUUGUAUGUACCGUAUGAAUAAGGAUCGGCUAACUCCGUGCCAGCAGCCGCGGUAAUACGGAGGAUCCGAGCGUUAUCCGGAUUUAUUGGGUUUAAAGGGAGCGUAGGCGGACGCUUAAGUCAGUUGUGAAAGUUUGCGGCUCAACCGUAAAAUUGCAGUUGAUACUGGGUGUCUUGAGUACAGUAGAGGCAGGCGGAAUUCGUGGUGUAGCGGUGAAAUGCUUAGAUAUCACGAAGAACUCCGAUUGCGAAGGCAGCUUGCUGGACUGUAACUGACGCUGAUGCUCGAAAGUGUGGGUAUCAAACAGGAUUAGAUACCCUGGUAGUCCACACAGUAAACGAUGAAUACUCGCUGUUUGCGAUAUACAGUAAGCGGCCAAGCGAAAGCGUUAAGUAUUCCACCUGGGGAGUACGCCGGCAACGGUGAAACUCAAAGGAAUUGACGGGGGCCCGCACAAGCGGAGGAACAUGUGGUUUAAUUCGAUGAUACGCGAGGAACCUUACCCGGGCUUGAAUUGCAACUGAAUGAUGUGGAGACAUGUCAGCCGCAAGGCAGUUGUGAAGGUGCUGCAUGGUUGUCGUCAGCUCGUGCCGUGAGGUGUCGGCUUAAGUGCCAUAACGAGCGCAACCCUUAUCGAUAGUUACCAUCAGGUUAUGCUGGGGACUCUGUCGAGACUGCCGUCGUAAGAUGUGAGGAAGGUGGGGAUGACGUCAAAUCAGCACGGCCCUUACGUCCGGGGCUACACACGUGUUACAAUGGGGGGUACAGAAGGCAGCUACACGGCGACGUGAUGCUAAUCCCUAAAGCCUCUCUCAGUUCGGAUUGGAGUCUGCAACCCGACUCCAUGAAGCUGGAUUCGCUAGUAAUCGCGCAUCAGCCACGGCGCGGUGAAUACGUUCCCG